UGGGGAAUUUUGGACAAUGGGCGAAAGCCUGAUCCAGCAAUGCCGCGUGUGUGAAGAAGGCCUUCGGGUUGUAAAGCACUUUUGUCCGGAAAGAAAUCCUUGGCUCUAAUACAGUCGGGGGAUGACGGUACCGGAAGAAUAAGCACCGGCUAACUACGUGCCAGCAGCCGCGGUAAUACGUAGGGUGCAAGCGUUAAUCGGAAUUACUGGGCGUAAAGCGUGCGCAGGCGGUUUGCUAAGACCGAUGUGGAAAUCCCCGGGCUCAACCUGGGAACUGCAUUGGUGACUGGCAGGCUAGAGUAUGGCAGAGGGGGGUAGAAUUCCACGUGUAGCAGUGAAAUGCGUAGAGAUGUGGAGGAAUACCGAUGGCGAAGGCAGCCCCCUGGGCCAAUACUGACGCUCAUGCACGAAAGCGUGGGGAGCAAACAGGAUUAGAUACCCUGGUAGUCCACGCCCUAAACGAUGUCAACUAGUUGUUGGGGAUUCAUUUCCUUAGUAACGUAGCUAACGCGUGAAGUUGACCGCCUGGGGAGUACGGUCGCAAGAUUAAAACUCAAAUGAAUUGACGGGGUCAUAGCUG
rnacentral:rRNA from 1 species